GGAGGAUUGCCCGAGUGGUUAAAGGGGACGGACUGUAAAUCCGUUGGCUACGCCUACGUUGGUUCAAAUCCAACAUCCUCCACCA
rnacentral:tRNA from 2 species